rnacentral:lncRNA from 1 species
UAGGAUCCCAGGGGACCAGGUUUGAUUCAUGGGCAACAAUUUACAUAUUUCCAUGCUCCAAUUCAUAGCUUAAAUACACAAAGGGUGGGGAAUAGGGAUUCAUAAAAGAAACAGGCAGAAAGAAAUCAGAAUGCUAAUUUGAGUGUCGAGCUAUACAAAAACAGUAAGUAGACAUUUUUUUUAAUUUAAUGGAUACAAAAAGCAUUAAAUAAAUACAUUAGUGUGGUGCUAAAAGCUUAAAUCAGCACAUACCAGUUUCAAAUAAAACAAAUAGAGAAAAGCAGUAGGUCUUGUAAACAGGCCACAGUGCUGAAAACAAGAUAGAAUACUAUUGUGUAUACGUGUGAAUUCAGAAAGGCUAUGAAUGAGUGUGUCAAUGACAGAGUCAUGCAUUUAUAGUGGAAAAAUCAGGCAGAGAUAAUGUUAAGAAAACAAUUAAUGAACUAAAUAUCAAUUAAGAAUGAAUCACAUAAGAUUUCCUUUAAUUAAGGAAUUUAGAUUCAAAUGGUAAAAGUUAUUUGAGGAAAGAAAUCAAACAAGCAUUUUGUGCAAAGUAGGAAAUUAGAUGUAAAUACAUAGAAGUUUAUUUUAGGGGCAGAGCUUUGAAAUACACGGUUGCAUAUAUAAGGUAAUAAAAAAUUAAUUAGUAGCCAAUAAAUCAAGGAUCAGAGAUUUCGUAAUUACUAGUCCAUGAAUGAACCAAGUCAGAAAAGUUAAAGAAAGUUAAAUAACUUAAAUCGAUUCAUAGGGAAAUUAGCAAACAAGGAAAGAAAUCAAUUAAACCUAUAUAGAAAGGAGUCUGAAACUAAUCAAAAUUUAAAAGCUAUUUUAGAGGGAAAGUCCAGCACAUAUAAAGAGUACACAAGUAUCAGGCAUGCGAGAAGGGAUCAACUAAAAGGUCUUAUAGAGUUUGGAAAAAGUCAGAAUCAUAUGAAAAAACAAAAUUGAACAACGAUUUUGACACUUACUGAAGCAGUAGAUGAAGCAAUUCCAGGAACUCAAAUAGGUCCAAAAAUUAGGUUUUUUUCUCUUUUUGUUUGAAAUUAGGCAAGUUCAAAGAUGAAGAGUCAGCAAAUCACCUAGCCAGGGCUCUCAAAACUUGGAUGAACCUCCAAAUUUUAGGGUUCUACCAUCAAUCAAGUGCCGAGAUGAGAGAGCAAGUAAUCAAGAAAGCAAAAGAUACCAGUCGAAAAAAAUUCAAAGUUCUCAAAAAGGAAUUGGGACCUUUAACAUGCCUUUUAAUAAUAGAUACUCGUGAGAAUCAAAGUAAAAGAGUAACAUGCGACUCACAAUAGAAGAACUGGUAGAGAAAACAAAUAAAAACAUGGUAUGAGAAUCUUAACAAGAGCAUAGUAGGAGCAACAUAGUAAAAGAACAUCGUAGAAGCAAUUUAAUAAGAACACAGUAGGAGUAAUAUGAUAGAAGAAUAUGGUAGAAGUAAUUUAACAAGAAUAUAGUAGAAGAAACGUAAUAGAAAAUCACACAAGAUAAAAAAAUCAGAGAAACAUACAAGAAAAUCAUAGAAAUACACAAGAGGGAAAGAAAAUAAAAGAAACAUACAAGAAAAUUUGAAAUACACACAAGAAGGAAAGAAAAUCAAAGAAACAUACAAGAAAAUUGGAAAAACACACAAGAGAAAAAGAGAAAAUCAGAGAAAAAUAACUCAAAACCCUAGAUCGAAAAAAUAGAGGUUUUGAAGGUAUAGUUUUUUUCUUUUAAAAAAAAGAAAUAUUAGAAAAUCGUUUAAAAGCUUAUGAAAAAUACGGAUUUGGAAUAGAUCUAAAAAAAUCGGAAAAAUCUCAAAGCUAAGGUUUCAGAGGAAUAAAAAAUAUGAGAAAGGCUUGGAUCCAAGCAGGAAGAGUUGAUGCCAGGCUCGAACGGACACGUCUUGUCGGAACAAGGCCGGAGAUGACCUUGGAACUCGAAUUGACAAAGGUCUGGACCCAAUUCUCAUGGUUGAGUCAUGAAGCAUUAGUUAACCAAACGUGAGAAGCCAUAGGUGGCUUGGUGGGUGAAGAAACCACCAUGGACUCAGGUCAGAAGGUGGCCAGAGAUGAUGAAGGGAACUCAUCGGAGAGGAGGGAGAAGGGGAAAGGUUCUAGAGAUAGAGAGAUAGAUACGAGUGAGGCAAAUGAGG